UCUGGUCCUAGAGGCAUUGCAGGUGUGGCUGUUGUGUCGCAUGUGCAUCAGUAGGUGGCAGAGAGGAGAGGGCUAUGACUACUCUCAGUGUUCUGCCCUGUGAGCCUCUGAAUGAUCAGUAGCCUAACACU
rnacentral:snoRNA from 1 species